GGAGAGGUGACCGAGUUGGCUGAAGGUGCUCGCCUGCUAAGCGAGUGGUGGCCAAAAGCUGCCCCAGGGUUCGAAUCCCUGCCUCUCCGCCA
rnacentral:tRNA from 1 species